AGCGAACGCUGGCGGCAGGCUUAACACAUGCAAGUCGAGCGGGCGUAGCAAUACGUCAGCGGCAGACGGGUGAGUAACGCGUGGGAACGUACCUUUUGGUUCGGAACAACACAGGGAAACUCGUGCUAAUACCGGAUAAGCCCUUACGGGGAAAGAUUUAUCGCCGAAAGAUCGGCCCGCGUCUGAUUAGCUUGUUGGUGAGGUAACGGCUCACCAAGGCGACGAUCAGUAGCUGGUCUGAGAGGAUGAUCAGCCACAUUGGGACUGAGACACGGCCCAAACUCCUACGGGAGGCAGCAGUGGGGAAUAUUGGACAAUGGGCGAAGCCUGAUCCAGCAAUGCCGCGUGAGUGAUGAAGGCCUUAGGGUUGUAAGCUCUUUUACCCGGGAUGAUAAUGACAGUACCGGAGAAUAAGCUCCGGCUAACUCCGUGCCAGCAGCCGCGGUAAU
rnacentral:rRNA from 1 species